rnacentral:rRNA from 1 species
CAACAGGGAUUGCCUCAGUAACGGCGAGUGAAGCGGCAAAAGCUCAGAUUUGAAAUCUGGCGUCUUCGGCGUCCGAGUUGUAAUCUGUAGAGGACUGCCUUUGGGUGGCCACCGGUCUAAGUCCCCCUGGAACGGGGUGUCACAGAGGGUGAGAAUCCCGUAUGUGACCGGGAAGGCGCCCCUAUACAUGGCUCCUUCGACGAGUCGAGUUGUUUGGGAAUGCAGCUCUAAAUGGGAGGUAAAUUCCUUCUAAAGCUAAAUACCGGCCAGAGACCGAUAGCGCACAAGUAGAGUGAUCGAAAGAUGAAAAGCACUUUGGAAAGAGAGUUAAAAAGCACGUGAAAUUGUUGAAAGGGAAGCGCUUGCAACCAGACUUGUUGGCGGUGUUCCGCCGGUCUUCUGACCGGUCUACUCACCGUCUGCAGGCCAGCAUCAUCUGGGGCCGCUGGAUAAAAGCGGAGGGAAUGUGGCUCCUCCGGGAGUGUUAUAGCCCUCUGUGUAAUACAGCGAGUCCCGGGUGAGGUCCGCGCUUCGGCUAGGAUGCUGGCGUAAUGGUCGUAAGCGGCCCGUCUUGAAACACGGACCAAGGAGUCUAACAUCUAUGCGAGUGUUCGGGUGUCAAACCCCUACGCGUAAUGAAAGUGAACGGAGGUGGGAACCUUUUAGGUGCACCAUCGACCGAUCCUGAUGUCUUCGGAUGGAUUUGAGUAAGAGCAUAGCUGUUGGGACCCGAAAGAUGGUGAACUAUGCCUGGAUAGGGUGAAGCCAGAGGAAACUCUGGUGGAGGCUCGCAGCGGUUCUGACGUGCAAAUCGAUCGUCCAAAUUUGGGUAUAGGGGCCGAAAGACUAAAUCGACA